UACGUAGGGGGCAAGCGUUGUCCGGAUUUAUUGGGCGUAAAGAGCGUGUAGGCGGUUAGGUAGGUCCGGUGUGAAAACUCGAGGCUUAACCUCGAGAGGUCGCCGGAAACCAUCUGGCUAGAGUCCGGAAGAGGAGAGUGGAAUUCCUGGUGUAGCGGUGAAAUGCGCAGAUAUCAGGAAGAACACCAAUGGCGAAAGCAGCUCUCUGGGACGGUACUGACGCUGAGACGCGAAAGCGUGGGGAGCAAACAGG
rnacentral:rRNA from 1 species